UAAGGAAUAUUGCUCAAUGGGAGAAAUCCUGAAGCAGCAACGCCGCGUGGAGGAUGAAGGGUUUUUAACUUGUAAACUCCUGUAAAGAAGGAAAAAACUCCCAUUAGAUGGGAAAUGAUGGUACUUCUGGAGUAAGCCCCGGCUAACUACGUGCCAGCAGCCGCGGUAAUACGUAGGGGGCAAGCGUUGUCCGGAUUUACUGGGUGUAAAGGGUGCUCAGGCGGAUUUGUAAGUCAGAGGUGAAAUCUCACAGCUUAACUGUGAAACUGCCUUUGAUACUGCAAGCCUAGAGUAUGGAAGAGAGUGAUGGAAUAUCUGGUGUAGCAGUGAAAUGCGUAGAUAUCAGAUAGAACACCAAUGGCGAAGGCAGUCACUUGGUCCAUAACUGACGCUAAAGCACGAAAGCGUGGGUAGCAAAACAGGAUUAGAUACCCUGGUAGUCUACGCCCAUAAAACCAGAUGAAAUACUAGAUGUUGGCUUCGCAUGAAGUCAGUAUCUGAGCUAACGCAUUAAGUAUUCCACCUGGGAAGUACGAUCGCAAGGUUGAAACUC
rnacentral:rRNA from 1 species